GGGUUGGAGCUCAGUGGUAGAGUACUUGCCUCCCAAGCAUGAGACCCUGAGUUCGAUCCUCAGCAUCACA
rnacentral:tRNA from 1 species